GACGUAGGGGGCGAGCGUUGUCCGGAAUUAUUGGGCGUAAAGGGUGCGUAGGCGGUGCGGUAAGUCUUCUGUGAAAUCUACGGGCUUAACUCGUAGUCUGCAGGAGAAACUGCCGUGCUUGAGUAUGGGAGAGGUGAGUGGAAUUCCUGGUGUAGCGGUGAAAUGCGUAGAUAUCAGGAGGAACACCGGUGGCGAAGGCAGCUCACUGGGCUAUAACUGACGCUGAGGCACGAAAGCUAGGGGAGCAAACAGG
rnacentral:rRNA from 1 species